GAGAGAUGGCUCAUUGCUUAAGAACACUUUGAAGGACCAGUUUGGCUCCCAGCACCCACAUCAGGUGCCACACAACCAUCUGUAACUAGCUCUAGAGGAUCCAGUGACCCCAGCCUUUCAGGGUACCUACAAGUUAUGUGCAGACACACAAAUAGAUAAUUUAAAGAUAUUACGCAUUAUUUAUAGCUAGGUAUAGUGGUACAUGCCUUUAAGCUCAGCAUUCCAGUACAUGUGUGUGUCCAAUUCAAGACCAGCCUAUAUAGAUCUGCCUCUAUGUAGUCAUUUCCAGGACAGCCAGCACUACAAAAACAAACAAACAAAAAGAAACUAAUAAUCACUAUUUAAAAAAUUUUUUUCAGUGGAAGUUGGGAUAGCAUCCUGACAACCUGGGAGGCUUAAGUGACAAGGCCAAGAUGACUCUAAAGGUAUAUCAGCCUUCUCUUGGGACCUUGAAUAGUGCUCUUGGGACAAAGCUCAUUCUCUGAAAUGACUCCAAAGGAGUGGAAGACAUCAUGUUUCCAACCUCCUCUAUUUACUAACCUGGGUCCAGCCACAUGGGUCUGCCCCUCACAGUACCUGGUGCCCUUCCCUACUGGGACCUCUGUUCCUCUUUCUAACUCCAGACUGUUCUUCAAGUGGCGGUUUACUGUAUAUGACCACAGGGAGACCCCCCGAAGUUCCCAUCUCCUCCCAGUCCAGGAUCUCUCUAUGUGAUACUGUUGUCCUGGAUCUUGAUAUAUAGAGCAAGUUGGCCUUGAACUCACAGACGUUCUACUGGCUUUGCCUCCUGAGUGAUGGAAUUAAAUAUUCACAUGACCACACCCUGCUCGUCGAACUCUUGAAUUCCAAGCAGCUGUAAUUGCUUACUUACAAAGGACUAGCACAAGAUUGGGCCUAUCCACAUUCCAUUAUAGAGCGGGGAUGGAGGGGGGAUCGCAAGAGGCCCAAUUUCUCCCGGAGUAGUUAAAGGUUGCUGGGGGAAGGACUUUCCUCAGUGGUGUAUCCACUGGUGAGUUGCAUGUAAGUAACCCUAAUUGAACUCAUUGAAUCACCAAUAAAAAAAUUAACAAAAGGACACGUAGAAGA